rnacentral:rRNA from 1 species
CCUACGGGAGGCUGCAGUGAGGAAUAUUGGUCAAUGGGCGCAGGCCUGAACCAGCCAAGUAGCGUGAAGGAUGACUGCCCUACGGGUUGUAAACUUCUUUUAUCAGGGAGUAAAGUGCGGCACGUGUGCCUUUUUGUGUGUACUUUAUGAAUAAGGAUCGGCUAACUCCGUGCCAGCAGCCGCGGUAAUACGGAGGAUCCGAGCCUUAUCCGGAUUUAUUGGGUUUAAAGGGAGCGUAGAUGGGGUGUUAAGUCAGUUGUGAAAGUUUGCGGCUCAACCGUAAAAUUGCAAUUGAUACUGGCAGCCUUGAGUAAAGUUGAGGUAGGCGGAAUGCGUGGUGUAGCGGUGAAAUGCUUAGAUAUCACGCAGAACUCCGAUUGCGAAGGCAGCUUACUAAACUGCAACUGACAUUGAUGCUCGAAAGUGUGGGUAUCAAACAGGAUUAGAUACCCGUGUAGUC